rnacentral:misc_RNA from 1 species
UGUUCUGUUCUUCUCUGUUCACAGUUAUCAGUGUUGUCAAGAGGCGCUUGGGCGAGGUGAAAUCUAGGCAUCUCGCAUGGGAAGCCUCCAAGUGAGGUGUCACCAGGCACCCCAAGGCGAGAAAUUAAAAAAAAUAAAUUGAGAAAGAGAAAAGCUUACCUGAUUUGUUUUCACCUUUUGAAAUUCACACGAUGACUAGAAAAUUAGGAUUUUGAGAUUGAUAACAGAAUGAAUAAUAUUGAACAAUGCAUCUAGAAUUUUAAAUUAUAUUAUGUGCAUUAUGGUUUUUUGCUUUAACAUUUUGUAUUAUUAAAGGAAUGCUUUUAAUCUUAAAACUUAAAAAUAUAAUAUAUUGUGAAAUAUGAAUAUGAAAUUUGGC